rnacentral:lncRNA from 1 species
AAACUUGAAUGUUCUGCUUAUGGUGAGUUUGAGGCAGACACCAACUCAGAUUUACAUGAAACUAAAAACACAUAUCAGUAUUAGUGAUAGCUAGACAAUGGGAAAAGCUUUUAAAAGGGCGUGAAGGAGGCACUGCUAUAGCGGCCACCUUUUGUCAAAAGAGUGGGGGGUUUAGUUUUAGCUACAGACACCAAACUUGGUACAUAAAUUGUUCUUNNNNNNNNNNNNNNNNNNNNNNNNNNNNNNNNNNNNNNNNNNNNNNNNNNNNNNNNNNNNNNNNNNNNNNNNNNNNNNNNNNNNNNNNNNNNNNNNNNNNUAUUCCCGCUGAAGCAGUGUUCCCGGGGAACGCUUUGAGUGUAACCCUGUUCCCAGGCCUGUGUGUGCGUUUGUUGCUGUGACAACCCCAAAUGAUGGAUUGGCAACAGGUGUGGGGGAUUUACUCAGAGUUUGCGUGAGGCCUCAUCAACAGUGGAGAGGAUAAAAAGCAAGAGAGAGAGGUGGUGCGUGUGGUUUUUCUCCCUUGUGAAAAGUCGUUUUAUUGGGUGGUAAUAGUUACUGGAGGACGGGUGAAUGAAGAGGACAGUGUUGCUUGAUGAGGGAUUCGAGAACAACAGCAGGAGAGUGAAUUACCCUGUUUGCAUUGGAGAGGAGCUGAGUAACUGAGAACUGAGUCUUGUAAUUGCACACGUUUGACACUGAAUUGGAUGUGGUUUGGAGUGUUUGGAUCACGAUCAUAAAUAUCACUGAGUGGAUUGUAUUGAUUCAUUACCGAUCUCUUACCUCUCCCUCCUCUAUAAAUGGUGAUGUGAACUCUGCCUGUGACUGUGAAGAAAAACAUCUCAGAACAUCCUCAGUGGCAGUGAGGAUUGCGCCCUCCCCCUUCCCUUCGGACAGAAACCCGAAUGAGAAGAGAUGCCCUGUUGAAAUAUUUACUAUCUGCCUCAGAAAAGCUCUGUGCAACCUGUUGACUUCGAGUCUGCUGUAUCCCUGCCAUUCACUGUAUGGUGAGAGGUGUUCGCUCCUUCCAAUACAUGUGAUUGUAUACUUGCCUGAAACAUCAUUGUCUGUCAGAAGAAGCCCCAUUCAGCCUUUGACUUCGAGUCUGCUGUAUCCCUGCAUUCACUGUAUGGUGAGAGGUGUUCGUCCUUCCAAUACAUGUGAAUUGUAUACUUGCCUGAAACAUCCAUUCUGUCUGUCUCAGAAGAAGCCCCAUUCAGCCUGUUGACUUCGAGUCUGCUGUAUCCCUGCCAUUCAACUGUAUGGUGAGAGGUGUUCGCUCCUUCCAAUACAUGUGAAUUGUAUACUUGCCUGAAACAUCCAUUCUGUCUGUCUCAGAAGAAGCCCAUUCAGCCUGUUGACUUCGAGUCUGCUGUAUCCCUGCCAUUCAACUGUAUGGUGAGAAGUGUUCGUCCUUCCAAUGCAUGUGAACUGUAUACUUGCCUGAAACAUCCAUUCUGUCUGUCUCAGAAGAAGCCCCAUUCAGCCUGUUGACUUCGAGUCUGCUGUAUCCCUGCCAUUCAACUGUAUGGUGAGAAGUGUUCGUUCCUUCCAAUGCAUGUGAACUGUAUACUUGCCUGAAACAUCCAUUCUGUCUGUCUCAGAAGAAGCCCCAUUCAGCCUGUUGACUUCGAGUCUGCUGUAUCCCUGCUAUUCGUCUGUAUGUGAGAAGUGUUCGUUCCUUCCAAUGCAUGUGAACUGUAUACUUGCCUGAAACAUCCAUUCUGUCUGUCUCAGAAGAAGCCCCAUUCAGCCUGUUGACUUCGAGUCUGCUGUAUCCCUGCCAUUCAACUGUAUGGUGAGAAGUGUUCGCUCCUUCCAAUGCAUGUGAACUGUAUACUUGCCUGAAACAUCCAUUCUGUCUGUCUCAGAAGAAGCCCCAUUCAGCCUGUUGACUUCGAGCCUGCUGUAUCCCUGCUACUCAUCUGUAUGAGGAAGCCCCAUUCAGCCUGUUGACUUCGAGUCUGCUGUAUCCCUGCUAUUCAUCCGUAUUGUGAGAAGUGUUCGUUCCUUCCAACGCAUGUGAACUGUAUACUUUGUCUGAAGCAUCCAUUCUGUCUGUUUCAGUAGAAACCCUGCACAGCCUGUUGACUUAGAGUUUGUUGCAUCCUUGUGGCCCACCUGUGCUGAGGAGGUGACUGUCCUUUGUCACGAACGUGAGAAGGGGCACGCUUUGUCUGGAAUAUCCACUCUGACGGUGUCAGGAGAAGCCACCUUACUGUAAGACCGUGCACCUGCCGUAUACGUACUUGACUGAUAUCAUUCGCCUCAAAUUCCGUACCUGUGGAAGAAGGAAGGAAGGCUGGAAUUACAUACUUACCGGAGGAGACUUACCGGACCCCUCACUUGCCAAACACAUCCCCACCUCAAGGCUGUGUAUCUGCCGUGUACGGACCUGACCGAUAUCCAUCCGUCCCAAAUUCUGCAUCUGUGAAGAAGGGAAGGGAGUUUGGAAGUAUUUAAUUACCAGAGGAGACUUACCAGACUGCGGGCUUGCCCGAUUGUAUUCCCACCUGUGAAAUGCCUACUUGACCACCCAUCUGUCCAUCUAUUGCGGGGCCCGCACAGAGGAAGAGGGCGGGAGAGUCCCCGGUCGCUGCAUUGUUUACCUUCAAGCCCUGAGGGUAACAAAGAAGAUUUUAGUUUAGGAUUCCCAAUUUGUUUUUACUUCAAAAUAAAACUUGUUAAAUUUAUUCUCUGUCUCCGACUCUUCCCUCUGAUACGCUCCUCGAGGUGGUCCUGGUUUAGGGGAGGGCGCAGUCCAGCUUGGCCCCCCUGACCUGUGACAGAUUGGCGUAGUCGGCAGGGUACUACCUCGAGUUGAGCGACCAGAGGUCGAGAUGGCAGAAGAGGAAGUGCUUGGGGCACGGCAAACCCGUCGUGCCAA